rnacentral:rRNA from 1 species
ACUCAAAGGAAUAGACGGGGGCCCGCACAAGCGGAGGAGCAUGUGGCUCAAUUCGAUGCAACGCGAAGAACCUUACCAGGGCUUGACAUGCAGCUGCACGUCCAUCGAAAGGUGGAUUCCUUCGAGGGUGCUGCACAGGUGCUGCAUGGCUGUCGUCAGUUCGUGCCGUGAGGUGUUGGGUUAAGUCCCGCAACGAACGCAACCCCUGUGUUUAGUUGCUACCAGGUAAUGCUGGGCACUCUAAACAGACUGCCUGUACCAAACAGGAGGAAGGUGGGGAUGACGUCAAGUCAGUAUGGCCCUUACGCCCUGGGCUGCACACGUGCUACAAUGGCCGGUACAGAGGGAAGCAAGACCGCGAGGUGGAGCAAAUCCUUAAAACCGGCCCCAGUUCGGAUUGAAGGCUGCAACUCGCCUUCAUGAAGUCGGAUUCGCUAGUAACGGCGUAUCAGCUACGACGCCGUGAAUACGUUCCCGGGCCUUGUACACACCGCCCGU